rnacentral:rRNA from 1 species
UACGUAGGGUGCGAGCGUUGUCCGGAAUUAUUGGGCGUAAAGAGCUCGUAGGCGGUGUGUCACGUCGAUCGUGAAAACUUACAGCUUAACUGUGAGCGUGCGGUCGAUACGGGCAUCACUGGAGUUCGGCAGGGGAGACUGGAAUUCCUGGUGUAGCGGUGAAAUGCGCAGAUAUCGGGAAGAACACCCGUGGCGAAGGCGGCUCUCUGGUACGUGACUGACGCUGAUGCGCGAAAGCUAGGGGAGCGAACGGG